GACGAACCGUGCGAACGUUGUUCGGAAUCACUGGGCUUAAAGGGCGCGUAGGCGGGAGGCCAAGUCAGUGGGUGAAAGCCCCCAGCUCAACUGGGGAAGUGCCCCUGAUACUGGUCUUCUCGAGGAAGGUAGGGGCACGUGGAACUUCCGGUGGAGCGGUGAAAUGCGUAGAGAUCGGAAGGAACGCCGGUGGCGAAAGCGACGUGCUGGACCUUUUCUGACGCUGAGGCGCGAAAGCUAGGGGAGCGAACGGG
rnacentral:misc_RNA from 1 species